rnacentral:rRNA from 1 species
UACGAAGGGGGCUAGCGUUGCUCGGAAUUACUGGGCGUAAAGCGCACGUAGGCGGCUUGUUAAGUCGGGGGUGAAAUCCUGGAGCUCAACUCCAGAACUGCCUUCGAUACUGGCGAGCUCGAGCGAGGUAGGGGCGGGUGGAACUUCCGGUGGAGCGGUGAAAUGCGUUGAUAUCGGAAGGAACGCCGGUGGCGAAAGCGACCCGCUGGACCAGUACUGACGCUGAGGCACGAAAGCGUGGGGAGCAAACAGG